rnacentral:rRNA from 1 species
UACAGAGGGUGCGAGCGUUGAUCGGAAUUACUGGGCGUAAAGCGCGCGUAGGCGGUUUUGCAAGUCGGGUGUGAAAUCCCCAGGCUUAACCUGGGAACUGCAUUCGAGACUGCAGUGCUAGAGUAUGGGAGAGGGAAGUGGAAUUUCCGGUGUAGCGGUGAAAUGCGUAGAUAUCGGAAGGAACAUCAGUGGCGAAAGCGACGUCCUGGACCAAUACUGACGCUCAUGUGCGAAAGCGUGGGGAGCAAACAGG